rnacentral:sRNA from 4 species
CCAUAGCCCAGACAGAAACGGCAUCCUUUAAUGGUGUGGUUCACCAUUAAAGAUAUAGUGGAAUGGCUGGAAAAAGC